GACGAACGCUGGCGGCGUGCUUAACACAUGCAAGUCGAACGGAAAGGCCCCUUUGGGGGUACUCGAGUGGCGAACGGGUGAGUAACACGUGAGUAACCUGCCCUUGACUUCGGGAUAACUUCAGGAAACUGGGGCUAAUACCGGAUAGGAAUCCUUGCUGCAUGGUGGGGGUUGGAAAGCUUCGGCGGUUUUGGAUGGACUCGCGGCUUAUCAGCUUGUUGGUGGGGUAGUGGCUUACCAAGGCUUUGACGGGUAGCCGGCCUGAGAGGGCGACCGGCCACAUUGGGACUGAGAUACGGACCAGAAUCCCACGGGAAGCAGGAGGGGGGAAUAUUGCACAAAGGGAGGAAGCCCGAUGCAAGAAAGACGAGUGCGGGAUGACGGACUUCGGGUUGUAAACCGCUUUCAGCAGGGGCGAAGCUUGUGGUGACGGUACCUGCAGAAGAAGCACCGGCUAACUACGUG
rnacentral:rRNA from 1 species